GGAAUGGUGAUCCAUGUGUUCCCCGGCAACAUCCUUGGAGUGGAGUGGACUGCCAGUUCGACAGAGUUAGUGGCAAAUGGAACAUAGAUGGAUUAGGUUUAGAGUCUUUAGACAACCAAGGUCUAAGAGGUCUCUUGCCAGAAGACAUAUCUAAGCUGCAUCAUUUGCAAAGCAUAAACUUGAGCGGGAACAGUAUACAAGGGCAAAUUCCCCAUUCUCUUGGUACUAUAAGUGGGUUGCAGGAAUUGAAUCUAAAUGGAAAUUCUUCGUCUGGAAGAGUUCCUGCUGCUCUUGGAGGAAGGCCUCUACAUGGAGCUAGUUUCAAG